rnacentral:lncRNA from 1 species
CAGUAAUUGCCCACUGGGAACUAUAAAUCAUAGUUCUCACGCCCUCUGUUUUGUGUUUUCUUUCAGAGCCUUCCACGCCGGGAGAGGCUAGGGACCGCGGGAAGGGAGUUGCUUCGAGCUAGCUUCCUUUGAGGACGAUUUGAUAGGUGGUCUACCUCUCGUAGUUUUAUUUUGUGAGAGGUUGUGAGUUGUACCUGUAUUUGUAGAGAGACCACCCUUCUUUUGGAUCCUUGUAUUCCUGUUGAGGAGAUAUUAUUUGUACUACCUUAUUGUUUAGUUAUGCUUUCUCUACUCUUGCUUAGAUGAUAAAACCUUGCUCGCUCUGAUAUCACUAGUUGUUACUGUUAGAUGUAUGCCCUAGAAGCCAACCAGACCGACACAUGUAUUCUUUCUAGGACAUAAUUUUGUAUUUGAUUUUAAAAUAUUAUGAAUAACUUUGGGUUUUUAUUUCCAUUCAUGUUGUGUAUGUGUCCAUGAAUCGUCCAAGGAAUUAAUAAGAUGAUGACAUAUAUUCUUAAGUGUUGAGAAUUUGAGACAUGUGUCAUUGGUGAUUAAUUCCUAAAUGCUCCCGUUCAAUGGAUCAUCACGGGGACGGUGAUUGAUCCGAUGAGAUUGGUGCAUAAGUCGCUUCCCUUUCAGGGUAGACGAGUUUCGAGUCGACAGUGUGGGGACACUGAAGCGAAUAUGCAGGUGGUUGUUAGAGAACAAGGGUACCGAGCGUGACCAACGCGAGAAGUCACUUGGAUGUCUACUCACUCGUCAGUGACUUACUCAAUUGUUGCAGUAGUGUGACUGGUCCUUUGACCUGCGGUGCCUCGGCUAUUCACAAUGAGGUUACUGUAGUUUGACUGUACAUACACUUGGUCCCUAGCCAUUCGGGUCCUUGCGGUGCAUGUUGGCUGCAGUAGGUUCAUUGUAGGAAUAGGGUGCGCACUUAGAUAGAAUCUAUCUCCCUUGGUAGAUAGGGGUGUUAGUCCUAUGUGAUUUAUGAGACCGAGUUUAGAAGACCUUGUCAAGGGCAGAAUAAAUAGCGGAAAAGGGUUUCCGAUAUUAGAAACUCGAGUCGAAUAAAUUUAACAUAUGACAGACGAUGGGGUUUGACGAGUUAUUCCAUAACCUCCGUCAAGUCGGGACUCAUGAUAGAAGGAUUGUAUCACACGGUAACUGCACCAAGAGGUUCAGUAUUCCAUUCUACUGGAAUGCCACUACAUGCUGCUAGGCGUCACUGGUGGAUGGUGAGACUCAUGAGAAUUAUCUUGAUGAUCGAUAAUUCUUAUUGGGCUGAGUUGGAAUUGUUUCGAUCCACUGAAAAGAGUUUCAGUGAUAUUGUUGAUAGUGAUCAAAAUAUAUCUCACUACCAGAUAGAAUAGAACCUAUGGGGUCACACACAUAACAGGUUGUGAUUGAUCGGAUAGCUAGAUCGCGAUUAUUGAAUCGCCGGAGGACCUAAUUGUCAAUAUGUUGAUAAUUGGACUAAUUUGUAAUUGUUACAAAUUAGUGGUAUUAAAGUGUAAAUGUUACUAGAGAGGACUUACU